rnacentral:rRNA from 2 species
UACGUAGGCAGCAAACGUUGUUCGGAGUUACUGGGCGUAAAGAGUACGUAGGCGGUUUGCCAAGUUUGGUGUGAAAUCUCCUGGCUUAACUGGGAGGGUGCGCCGAAUACUGGCGGGCUUGAGUAUUGGAGAGGAAAGCGGAAUUCCUGGUGUAGCGGUGAAAUGCGUAGAUAUCAGGAGGAACACCGGUGGUGUAGACGGCUUUCUGGACAAUCACUGACGCUGAGGUACGAAAGCGUGGGUAGCAAACAGG